rnacentral:rRNA from 1 species
AUUGAACGCUGGCGGCAGGCCUAACACAUGCAAGUCGAGCGGCUGCAGGGUGCUUGCUCCUGGAUUCAGCGGCGGACGGGUGAGUAAGGCCUAGGAAUCUGCCUGUCAGUGGGUGAUAACGUCCGGAAACGGGCGCUAAUACCCCAUACGUCCCGAGGGAGAACGGGUGGGAGCUUCGGACCUCCGGCUAUUAGAUGAGCCUAGGUCGGAUUAGCUAGUUGGUGGGGUAAAGGCCUACCAAGGCGACGAUCCGUAGCUGGUCUGAGAGGAUGAUCAGUCACACUGGAACUGAGACACGGUCCAGACUCCUACGGGAGGCAGCAGUGGGGAAUAUUGGACAAUGGGCGAAAGCCUGAUCCAGCCAUGCCGCGUGUGUGAAGAAGGUCUUCGGAUUGUAAAGCACUUUUAGUUGGGAGGAAAGGCAGUAAGUUAAUACCUUGCUGUUUUGACGUUACCAACAGAAUAAGCACCGGCUAACUUCGUG